rnacentral:snoRNA from 15 species
CCUUGCUGUGUGUGAUGAAAGUAACGUUGGUAGGGACAUCUGAGAUUGCUGAUGAAUGCCAACGUCUCUGAUGCGGGG